GGUGAACGCUGGCGGCGUGCCUAACACAUGCAAGUCGAGCGAAGCACUUACUUUAGAUUUCUUCGGAAUGACGAAGUUUGUGACUGAUCGGCGGACGGGUGCGUAACGCGUGGGCAACCUGCCCUGUACAGGGGGAUAACAGUUCGAAAUGACUGCUAAUCCCGCAUAAGCCCCCAGCUUCGCAUGAAGCAGUGGGAAAACCUCCGGUGGUACAGGAUGGGCCCGCGUCUGAUUAGCUCGUUGGUAAGGUAACGGCUUACCAAGGCGACGACCAGUAGCCGAGCAGAGAGGGUGACCGGCCACAUCGGGACUGAGACACGGCCCAAAAUCCUACGGGAGGGUGCAGUGGGGAAUAUUGCACAAUGGGGGAAACCCAGAUGCAGCGAGGCCGGGUGAGCGAUGAAGUAUUUCGGUAUGUAAAGCUCUAUCAGCAGGGAAGAAAGUGACGGUACCGGACUAAGAAGCACCGGCUAACUACGUG
rnacentral:rRNA from 1 species